rnacentral:tRNA from 1 species
CCUUUGAUAGCUCAGUUGGUAGAGCAGAGGACUAUAGUAGAGUCAUAGUCAUCCUUAGGUUGCUGGUUUGAACCUGGCUCAUAGGA